rnacentral:rRNA from 1 species
GAUGAACGCUGGCGGCGUGCCUAAUACAUGCAAGUAGAACGCUGAAGGAGGAGCUUGCUCUUCUGGAUGAGUUGCGAACGGGUGAGUAACGCGUAGGUAACCUGCCUGGUAGCGGGGGAUAACUAUUGGAAACGAUAGCUAAUACCGCAUGACAACAGUUAUUGCAUGAUAACUGUUUAAAAGGGGCAACUGCUCCACUACCAGAUGGACCUGCGUUGUAUUAGCUAGUUGGUGAGGUAACGGCUCACCAAGGCGACGAUACAUAGCCGACCUGAGAGGGUGAUCGGCCACACUGGGACUGAGACACGGCCCAGACUCCUACGGGAGGCAGCAGUAGGGAAUCUUCGGCAAUGGACGGAAGUCUGACCGAGCAACGCCGCGUGAGUGAAGAAGGGUGUCGGAUCGUAAAGCUCUGUUGUAAGAGAAGAACGAGUGUGAGGGUGGAAAGUUCACACUGUGACGGUAUCUUACCAGAAAGGGACGGCUAACUACGUG